rnacentral:misc_RNA from 1 species
GUAAUCGAAGAUCUUUAGAGCUUCUUCAUGCCGUCUUGAUUUAAACAGUCUGUCAAGUAGUAAACCAUAGGUCUCUACAUCUAAAGCAACACCAAGUCUCUCUAGUUCAGUAUGUAAAGAAAUGGCAGAAUCAAUCCUUCUGCUAAAGCAAUAGUGCCGCACCAAAGAGCAGCAACAAAAAGAUUCAAACUGAAGUCCUUUUUGAAAAAUUACAUUCAGAAGCU